rnacentral:rRNA from 1 species
GAUGAACGCUGGCGGCGUGCCUAAUACAUGCAAGUCGAGCGAACGGACGAGAAGCUUGCAUCUCUGAUGUUAGCGGCGGACGGGUGAGUUACAACUGGAUAACCUACCUAUAAGACUGGGAUAAAUUCGGGAAACCGGCGCUAAUACCGGAUAAUAUUUUGAACCGCAUUGUUCAAAAGUGAAGGACGGUCUUGCUGUCACUUAUAGAUGGAUCCGCGCUGCAUUAGCUAGUUGCUAAGGUAUCGGCUUACCAAGGCAACGUUGCAUAGCGGACCUGAGAGGGGGGUCGGCCACACUGGAACUGAGACGCGAUCCAGACUACUACGGGAGGCAGCGGUGGAGAAUCGUCCGCAAUGGACGAGUGCCUGGCGGAGCAACGCCGCGUCGGUGAUAAAGGUCUUCGGAUCGUAAAUCUCUGCUAUUAGGGAAGAAGAUAUGUGUAAGUAACUGUGCACAUCUUGACGGUACCUAAUCAGAAAGCCACGGCUAACUCCGUG